UCUCUCCCUCUUUCUCCUUCUCUCUCCUUGAUCCCUCUGCUUCUCUUUCUCUGCUCCUUUCUUGAUGCUUAGGGUGGUUUGGAGCUGGAGGGAUUGGACCUUGAUUUAAGUGUUGUUGACAACAAAGCAUCACAGAGGGUA